rnacentral:rRNA from 1 species
AGUGAACGCUGGCGGUAGGCCUAACACAUGCAAGUCGAACGGCAGCACAGUAAGAGCUUGCUCUUACGGUUGGCGAGUGGCGGACGGGUGAGGAAUACAUCGGAAUCUACUUUUUCGUGGGUGAUAACGUAGGGAAACUUACGCUAAUACCGCAUACGACCUACGGGUGAAAGCAGGGGAUCUUCGGACCUUUUGCGAUUGAAUUAGCCGAUGUCGGAUUAGCUAGUUGGCGGGGUAAAGGCCCACCAAGGCGACGAUCCGUAGCUGGUCUGAGAGGAUGAUCGGCCACACUGGAACUGAGACACGGUCCAGACUCCUACGGGAGGCAGCAGUGGGGAAUAUUGGACAAUGGGCGCAAGCCUGAUCCAGCAAUACCGCGUGAGUGAAGAAGGCCUUCGGGUUGUAAAGCCCUUUUGUUGGGAAAGAAAAGCAGCAGGUUAAUCCCCCGAUGUUCUGACGGUACCCAAAGAAUAAGCACCGGCUAACUUCGUG